rnacentral:rRNA from 1 species
UGGGGAAUAUUGGACAAUGGGCGAAAGCCUGAUCCAGCCAUGCCGCGUGUGUGAAGAAGGUCUUCGGAUUGUAAAGCACUUUAAGUUGGGAGGAAGGGCAGUAAGCGAAUACCUUGCUGUUUUGACGUUACCGACAGAAUAAGCACCGGCUAACUCUGUGCCAGCAGCCGCGGUAAUACAGAGGGUGCAAGCGUUAAUCGGAAUUACUGGGCGUAAAGCGCGCGUAGGUGGUUCGUUAAGUUGAAUGUGAAAGCCCCGGGCUCAACCUGGGAACUGCAUCCAAAACUGGCGAGCUAGAGUAGGGCAGAGGGUGGUGGAAUUUCCUGUGUGGCGGUGAAAUGCGUAGAUAUAGGAAGGAACAACAGUGGCGAAGGCGACCACCUGGGCUCAUACUAACACUGAGGUGCGAAAGCGUAGGGAGCAAACAGG